AAACACAGGUUCCCAUACAAUCACUGAAGUUAAGCAAUGUCAAAACUGGUCAGUACCUAAAUGGGUGACUGCUUGGGAAUACCAAGUGCUGUAAG